rnacentral:rRNA from 1 species
GAUGAACGCUGGCGGCGUGCCUAAUACAUGCAAGUCGAGCGAACAGACGCGGAGCUUGCUCCUCUGACGUUAGCGGAGGACGGGUGAGUAACACGUGGAUAACCUACCUAUAUGACUGGGAAAACUUCGGGAAACCGGAGCUAAUCCCGGAUAAUAUAUUGAACCGCAGGGUUCAAUGGUGAAAGACGGUUUUGCUGUCUCUACUAGAUGGAUCCGCGCCGCAUUAGCUAGUUGGUAAGGUAACGGCUUACCAAGGCGACGAUGCGUAGCCGACCUGAGAGGGUGGUCGGCCACACUGGAACGGAGACACGGUCCAGACGCCUACGGGAGGCAGCAGUAGGGAAUCUGCCGCAAUGGGCGAAAGCCUUACGGAGCAACGCCGCGUGAGUGAUGAAGGUCUUCGGAGCGUAAAACUCUGUUAUGAGUGAAGAACAAAUGUGGAAUUAACUAUGCACGUCUUGACGGUACCUAAUCAGAAAGCCACGGCUAACUACGUG